CUCCAGCUGUGCCAGGGGAGGUCUUUUCUCUUUGCAGCAGAUAAUUUUAACAAAACUUUGCUAAGUCAAACCCACAGAUUUCCUGCUGAAAACCGACUUACUGCUGAGACUUGAGGUGUCCAAAUAAUGUUGAAAACAAAGCACUGACUUGGAAGAUGGAGGAAGACAGCCUGAACUUGUGCUCCUUCUGUGCUUGUAACUCCGUGUCUACUCUGUCCUUUUAGACUUAAAUGACAGCUGCACUAUGAACUCAAGAGGGGAAGAAACGGUUGUUGGAUUUGGCCUCUCUGCAUUAAAACCUGCAAAUACCAGAUUAAAUUCUUUCAGAGGACACAGUGAGCAGGAAAGAGUGGACCUGAAUGUAUCCUGAGAGUUAUAACUGCCUUUGUUAAGAAAAUCUCAAUAUAUCAGUGGAUAUGUUGAGAAAAACAAGAAGAGUGGUGCUUUUUCUUUAUAUGACGGUAUAUGAGUAAUUAUGCUGUCCAUACACCCUGUCAUAUGAAAGCUUUUUUAGAAAUAAAAAUAGAAUGUUUCUACUAGUAAAGAAAGUCCUUGGAUCCAUGGAUUUCUUUAUUCUAUAAGAGGGGUGAAAGCCU